UAGGGCUAGUCCAAACUUACACAGAGACCUGUGCUCUACAGGCACAGAACUGGGAGCCAGCCUCUCCUUCCUGGAUCUCCACUGCCUUACAACUGACAGAUGUCUGUCAUCUUCUCUUCCAUGAUAAUUUUUUCAGGAUCUGCCUGGGUUCAGUGGUCAGUGCUGACAGAGCAGCAAUCAUCUUCCUCAGAAGACCUGUGUGUGGAAAUUGGUGAUUGUUUUUUUAAUUGAGCUACAAAAACUUCAUAUAUACUUCAGCUAUCUUAUUCCCAGGUUUCCUCUUCCUUCAUCUCUGAAAUUCAGGUUGCGUCCUCCCUGCUUGGCGAUCACUCUUUUUUAACAUGCCACCUCAUAGAGUGAUGCCUUGAACCCAAUCAUGUUUCUUGCUGCAACUGCAAAAUAAAUAAUACUUAUAUUUUACUCUUUCAGGAUUUAGACUUUGGUUGUUUGUGGCAGAUUUUAUACUCAACUGUGGCUUUAAUAUGUCAACAUUUUAAAAUUAAUAAAAAUUUGGAGAUGGAAUGACUUUGUACAUAUCCUGUGUGUCAGAGUCAAACAGAUCAAAUUAUUUUCAUUACAACUUAACCUUGGUUUAAGUGUGUCCAGGAUAAAGGUUGUCUCAGAAGCAUGUAUUCAUUCCAUGCAGGAGGAGGAGGAGAGGGAAGGUGCUGGCUUUAUUCCCAGGUCCAAAACAAAUGAUGCCAUAAGAGUCCACUCCCUUCCAAAGGGGCAUUGGUCUUUCUUGCUUUUCAAGUCUUUUCCUGCUUGCUUUGACCUUCCUUAAGUGUCUCCUUUUAUUGCUCUUUUUUUUUUUUUUUCUUGAGCUGGAGAAUCAUUGGAGUAAAAUCUGACCUCCAUGAUUCAUCCAAGGCCACAAAAUGAAUAGGACCUUUAUGAGAAACCAAAGAUGAGAUCCAUGUCUCUGUCCCAGUCAGAUGGCUGAGGUCCUUCUGCUGGCCCUAUGGCUAACUUCAGUGGCAAACUUUGGUCCAGUGCUUGCUCACAUGCAUGUCUCCAAAAUCCCACAUGCACGUGUGUGUUCAUAUACAGGACACAAUUAUUCCCCUGCUUGCUGGCACACUGUCACUUUCUUCAGGCUAAUGUUGAUGUAAAAUCAAAAAGCAGAAGCUAGAGCAACAGAAAAUUUUCCUGUUGUGUAGAUCCUGGUAAAUGCCCACAGAAGAACUUCUUUAGUGUGAGGGUGACCGAGCACUGGAACAGAUUGCCCAGAGAGGUUGUGGAGUCUCCCUCACUGGAGAUAUUCCAGAACCAUCUGGACACAAUCCUGUGCCAUGUGCUCCAGGGUGAUCCUGCUUGAGCAGGGAGGUGGGACCAGAUGACCUCACUGUGGUCCUUCCAGCCUGACCCCCUCUGUGGUUUUGUGAAAGGAGCUGAGCUCAUGUGCAGUCACAAAGGCUGGGGGCAAGUUAAGGCUGGUAAAGUUGUUGAAUGCCACUUCAACAGUAACUUUUUCCUUAUCUAUUGCAUGAUAAUGAAUCAAGAAGAUCUAAGGCCAGGCCAUCCCAUCCCUCUUCUUGUUUCCUUGUUUCUUACAAGGCUCCUUUCCAAAAUUCUGAUUUUUUGAAACCAUUUUUAAUUUUAGUGCUACAUGUGUUGUAUUUGCCCAAGUACAAUAUAAGAAAUGACCUGACUUGUCAGAACUACAUUUGGUGCUAGCACUAAUAAUACAGGAAUGAAGGACAAACUGAGUAAAGGACAACCUCAGCAGAGGCUGAGGAUGCCCUUCCCAGCCUGCAACCCACUUCAAGGUUCUGCCCAAGUUAAUAGGACAGAAGUAACAGU